rnacentral:tmRNA from 3 species
GGGGCUGAAUAGGAUCGACAGAGGACGAUCAUGCAAGCCGGAGCAUGCCGAGGUGGUGGCGAGGCCUCGUUAAACACGCUACAAAACAUAAAUGCUGAAAAAAUCAGCUGGAGCAACAGGUCCUUCGGGCCUGCGGCUCUACCUCUCGCUGCCUAAUUAGGUUCAGCGACGUUUCCCGGGUCCACGCCUUGGGGGCUUAGGAAACGACAUUCUCAGGGCUGGCUUCGUUAUGUUGUUGCUUUCGAUAACGGAGUGAGAUUUAGAAAGCUCGCCUUUAAAGAUUUUGUCUGUAGAAGCUUUAAAGGUUAAAUUAAAAUAUAGUCUGAGCAUGGAGAAUCGCUUGUGUGUGUCUUACUGGACGUGGGUGCAAUUCCCACCAGCUCCAUUC